GACGAACGCUGGCGGCGCGCCUAACACAUGCAAGUCGAGCGAGAACCGGAGCUUCGGCUCCGGGGACAGCGGCGAACGGGUGAGUAACACGUGGAUAACCUGCCCUCGGCACCGGAAUAGCCCGGGGAAACCCGGAUUAAUGCCGGAUGGCCCCACAUCCCUGCGGGGAACGUGGGAAAAGGUAGCUUCGGCCUCUGGCCGAGGAUGGGUCCGCGGUGGAUUAGCUUGUUGGUGGGGUAAUGGCCCACCAAGGCGACGAUCCAUAGCUGGUCUGAGAGGACGAUCAGCCACACUGGGACUGAGACACGGCCCAGACUCCUACGGGAGGCAGCAGUGGGGAAUCUUGCGCAAUGGGCGAAAGCCUGACGCAGCGACGCCGCGUGCGGGAAGAAGGCCUUAGGGUUGUAAACCGCUUUCAGGAGGGACGAAGCCACUCGGGUGAAUAGCCCAGAGGGUGACGGUACCUCCAGAAGAAGCCCCGGCUAACUACGUGC
rnacentral:rRNA from 1 species